GGUGAGAGAAAAUUACACUAAUGCGUUUCACUCCACCUGACCUCAGGAUCCAAAACAUUUAAAGGAAGGCUGGGCUCUAUAAUUGCAUUUGCCUUGCAACCCUGCCAGUUUCUUAAGUGCAUUCAUUAUAAUACAGACUGAAUGAUUUGAGCUGAUUCUGCAGCUUAUCAAUUGGAUGGAAGGAAUUCAUGCCAUUAAGGCCAUUCCAUGAAAGGAAGAAGGAAAUUAACCUCGAGAAUGACCAUCUUGGUCAAAAAAGACAGGAGAGAAGAACUUGUGAUAACUUGCAGACAGCCCUAUUUUGCUCCUUCAGUCAGCUGGAAAGAUUCAGAAGGGCACAUAAGGGGAAAAGUAUGGGCUGAACUCCCAAAACCCCUACUGUGGAUUGCUUAAUGUCUGUGUUUAAUAACUCAAAGUUCCCUUUCUCUCAAAGCCUAAAAGGAAUCAGGGCAGAGAUAUAUAUGCUUAUAAACCCAACCUAUUGUUGCCAAUAAUAAAACAUUUUUAUUUUGACUUUU